rnacentral:rRNA from 1 species
CUGGAGGUAUCAGAAGUGCGAAUGCUGACAUAAGUAACGAUAAAGCGGGUGAAAAGCCCGCUCGCCGGAAGACCAAGGGUUCCUGUCCAACGUUAAUCGGGGCAGGGUGAGUCGACCCCUAAGGCGAGGCCGAAAGGCGUAGUCGAUGGGAAACGGGUUAAUAUUCCCGUACUUGGUGUUACUGCGAAGGGGGGACGGAGAAGGCUAUGUUGGCCGGGCGACGGUUGUCCCGGUUUAAGCGUGUAGGUGUGUGUUCCAGGUAAAUCCGGUUCACUUUAACACUGAGGCGUGACGACGAGGCACUACGGUGCUGAAGCAACAAAUGCCCUGCUUCCAGGAAAAGCCUCUAAGCAUCAGGUAACACGAAAUCGUACCCCAAACCGACACAGGUGGUCAGGUAGAGAAUACCAAGGCGCUUGAGAGAACUCGGGUGAAGGAACUAGGCAAAAUGGUGCCGUAACUUCGGGAGAAGGCACGCUGACACGUAGGUGAAGUGAUUUACUCAUGGAGCUGAAGUCAGUCGAAGAUACCAGCUGGCUGCAACUGUUUAUUAAAAACACAGCACUGUGCAAACACGAAAGUGGACGUAUACGGUGUGACGCCUGCCCGGUGCCGGAAGGUUAAUUGAUGGGGUCAGCGCAAGCGAAGCUCCUGAUCGAAGCCCCGGUAAACGGCGGCCGUAACUAUAACGGUCCUAAGGUAGCGAAAUUCCUUGUCGGGUAAGUUCCGACCUGCACGAAUGGCGUAAUGAUGGCCAGGCUGUCUCCACCCGAGACUCAGUGAAAUUGAACUCGCUGUGAAGAUGCAGUGUACCCGCGGCAAGACGGAAAGACCCCGUGAACCUUUACUAUAGCUUGACACUGAACAUUGAGCCUUGAUGUGUAGGAUAGGUGGGAGGCUUUGAAGCGUGGACGCCAGUCUGCGUGGAGCCGACCUUGAAAUACCACCCUUUAAUGUUUGAUGUUCUAACGUGGACCCGUUA